rnacentral:rRNA from 1 species
CUACGGGGGGCUCCAGUGGGGGAUAUUGCACAAUGGAGGAAACUCUGAUGCAGCAACGCCGCGUGAAGGAAGACGGUUUUCGGAUUGUAAACUUCUAUCAGCUAGGAAGAAAAUGACUGUACCAGACUAAGAAGCCCCGGCUAACUACGUGCCAGCAGCCGCGGUAAUACGUAGGGGGCAAGCGUUAUCCGGAUUUACUGGGUGUAAAGGGUUCGUAGGCGGUUAUUUAAGUCAGAUGUGAAAGCCCGAGGCUCAACCUCGGGACUGCAUUUGAAACUGGAUAACUAGAGUACAGGAGAGGAAAGCGGAAUUCCUAGUGUAGCGGUGAAAUGCGUAGAUAUUAGGAAGAACACCAGUGGCGAAGGCGGCUUUCUGGACUGUAACUGACGCUGAUGAACGAAAGCGUGGGGAGCGAACAGGAUUAGAUACCCGAGUAGUC